UUUUUUCAGGAGACAUAAUUAGUGUACUACAGAAUUCUGUACCCCAUGUGUGUGGGUCUAUGAUGCGGCUUGAUAACGAUUAUCUCCAGGUCCGAAAAUCGCAGCAACCAAUCAGCAGUUAGCCUUGACAGCUCUACAGGUUUUCCCUGCAGAGAAGGAUUUAGGAUAAGGACCAGGGCAGGAUUUGUUGACUUGUUUCAUCUUGUCGGGGGCAUAGAGUUGCACCAGGAGUCGUCUCGAACACGAAAGGCUCAUGUCACCCUUGGGCUUUCUGGCUAUAUUGUCAGAUUUGGGAGGAAAAUAAGUACUUAUAUAUCCCUAUGAAAAUACUUAUCCGUGUUGCUGGUGGAUGCAUUGGCUUACUUAUAGUCGCAGUCCUGGCUUUAUCUAUUCGAUUCUGUAACAAACACGUAAAAGAACUAAGAGAAGCCGAGGAAGAGCUGCGUUGCCUCCAAGUCGUUGUACAAGGUGUUAAAAUACAGAUGCCAGAAGAAGACUCUAAGACAAAGGAAGAUAUUCCUAACUAAGAAAUAGAAAAUAAAGGCAAGGAAGUACCUACAGAGUAUACUAUAAAGACUGAUCCCCCUCAAGAGAUCUGUGCUGAUACAGAGAUAACAGAAAGUGUUAAAAUACAGAUGCCAGAAGAAAACUGUAAUGAAAAGGAAGAUAUUCCUAAGAAAGAAACAGAAAAUGAAGGGAAGGAAGUGCCUGUGUCUAUUAUAAAGACUGAUCCCCCUCAUGAGGUCUCUGCUAAACCAGAGAAAGAGACAGAAGAAAGUACAGGAGCAGAAUUGGUAGAGGAAAAUGAUGAACCUGAAAGUAGAGUUGAACAAAAGAAAGAAGAAGGUGCUCAGAAAGCAAAUGAGACCCAACAAAAACAAGGGAAGAAGAAGAAGAAAAGAAAUAGGAAAGACAGAAAGUAAAGAGAAAGAGAAUCAUAGUGACCCGGGGGAAUAAAAGACAUACUUCAAUACUACAAAAAUAACUUGUAUAUGUAAAAAUGUAUUUACUAUAUAUGAUUAUGUGUUAUAAUAAUAUGUAUA